UACGUAGGGGGCAAGCGUUGUCCGGAUUUAUUGGGCGUAAAGAGCGUGUAGGCGGCUUGGUAGGUCCGCUGUGAAAACUCGAGGCUCAACCUCGAGAUGUCGGCGGAAACCACUUGGCUAGAGUCCGGAAGAGGAGAGUGGAAUUCCUGGUGUAGCGGUGAAAUGCGCAGAUAUCAGGAAGAACGCCUAUGGCGAAGGCAGCUCUCUGGGACGGUACUGACGCUGAGACGCGAAAGCGUGGGGAGCGAACAGG
rnacentral:rRNA from 1 species